AGAGUUUGAUCCUGGCUCAGGAUGAACGCUAGCUACAGGCUUAACACAUGCAAGUCGAGGGGCAGCAUGUUGGUUGCUUGCAACCAACGAUGGCGACCGGCGCACGGGUGAGUAACGCGUAUCCAACCUACCCUUGUCCAUCGGAUAACCCGUCGAAAGGCGGCCUAACACGAUAUGCGGUUCACAGCAGGCAUCUAACGUGAACGAAAUGUAAAGGAGAAGGAUGGGGAUGCGUCUGAUUAGCUUGUUGGCGGGGUAACGGCCACCGAAGGCUACGAUCAGUAGGGGUUCUGAGAGGAAGGUCCCCCACAUUGGAACUGAGACACGGUCCAAAAUCCUACGGGAGCA
rnacentral:rRNA from 1 species